GAAAAAGUUGUUUGGAGUGUCUUUUAGUUUUUGCGUGUCGAAAAAAGGGUUUUUUGCCUGUGUUUAGUGACAAAACGAUUGAAAUCGAGUUUUUUUCUAAAAUACUACGGCCACAGGCACCCAACGAGUUCCAGAAAUGUUAGAAACCGCUUUUGAAAAUGAGGCGAUAGCUGUUCGUUAAGAUAACUCCAGUGUGUGUAGUGAAUUUUUGUGUUGAACAGACAAUUAGUAAUGCGCGAUUUUUAAAAUUACGAUUAAUGAAAAUGUGCCAACAAAAUGGUCCUCCAGGAACAAGCCAAGGAAACGACGGUGCCUGCUAAAUGGUUCCGGAUUAAAGGUAAGUCCAUUGCAUGAAGAUGUGGGGAGGUGGUGUAUUUUAAUUUUUUCCGCGUAUCGCCAAGUCCGCGGUGAGUGAAUAUGUGAAUAAGUGCAACGAUUAUUUUAUGACCUAACACAGUACAGUCCGGGACAUUUCUAUUUGGACAUAAAAAAUUUGAAUUUUCUGACAUUUAUACGUAUAUUCAGCGUCUAUGUGAACAAAAAAUGUUCUCUCUCUCAUUCUAUGGUCCUUGAGCUUUAAUAACAGGGACAUUUUUUAAAUUGGUAGCAUUAGAAAAUGACAGUAAACAGCUGACUGAUGUAAACAAUAACACAAUAACAAAGGAAAUGUUAUAAUUUUAAUCUAUAUAACCAGUGGCUGCUUUAAAAGUGUGUACUAACGGGAUAAUAAAAUAUUUACGCAAGUAUUUUUGAAGGUAGAAACAUUACUUGUCAUAUAACAAUUAUAGAUUAUAUGAUGAGACGGGAAUGGCACAACACAGAAUUGCAGUCAGUGAUUGUGCUGGAGAAAGCUGCUGUGACGUACUGACAGUACUGACUGUCGCUGGUUGUAUGAUUUGCGCAAUUUGUGAUAUAUUUUGUGUGAAAAACUGGAAAACAAAGUGCAUAACCGCAUAACCUCACUUAUCGCAGUUUUGCACAUUUUGAUGAUGAGAAUUGCGGUUCAAGUAAUUAUGAGUUAUAGAUGGAGCUCACUGUUUACUUCAAACUGAAGCCUUUUGGGUCCACUUUUUUCGUUGUUAUUUCCUGGUAGCGACUCUUGUUUCAAGCAGAAUGGGUGUAAAGUUAAAAAUAAUCCCAUAAAAUUGUUAAUAUAACUCCGUUGCACUGGCAUGGGGUAUUUGAAAACUUACGUUUAACAAAUACGUCACAAAGUCUCAGCCAUCGUCGAAAAACAUCAUAAGGGCUUUAUAACAAGAAGCGCUUUCUGAUUUUACUGUGGACGUGUGGAAGAAUAGUGUGAAAUAUUGCGAAAAACCAACUUUUACUCUUGUUUACAUUUUUGUACGUCUCUAUCUGAGAGUAGUCGUCUUGUAUAAAAAAUAUAGCCUACUAAUAAAGGAAAUUAAAGUGUUUUUAUUUCUGGGUUGCCUACAAUUCCCCACUUUGCCCUUGCCUGAUAAUCAAGACACUGAUAAUGAAAUUGGUGUAAGUGCAUCGAAUACAAACGUGUUGAAUAGAUGAAUAAAAGAGAGACAACUGCUUUUUUCAAAAAGGCCAUUUCAAAUUUAUUCAAAAAGCACACCCCCAUUGAAAAGGGUCCAUUCACGAUGAAGUUUGGCUUCCUGCAUGACAUAGGUUUCGGGCACCAAUCUCACUGUAAAUGGUCUAAAUUGGUCUUGCAUCUCUAAGACAUGGACGCACUGAGAGCGACUUCUGCAGUAGGCUUGAGACCUGCCUGCCUGUCUCGCAACAAUCUCUGCAUUAUGAUUCCAAAUCAUUUUAUAAAAUGCUGUCAAUUACAAGCCAUGAUAUGAGACAUGAGGCCGUCUCAGUGUAUGUCUUGUGGUGUACAUUGAAACUGGUUCUUAAAGAACCCAUUCACAAUGAGAUCUGCUUCGCUACAUGCGGCGCGACAGGACUCAAAGACUAAUCCCAAAAGACACAAAAAAACUGACACAGUUUCAUCAUUUUAAGCCAUUGACAGCGUUUUCGAAUGUUGGUGCAAAGACUUGUCGCGAGGCAGGUUUCAGCCUUCCGCCAACGUCAGUCUCAGUGAAACCCUUUCAAAGUGAUCUCAGCGAAAACCAUUCACAAUGAGAUUGGUCUAUGAGGCCUAUGUCGUGCCGCAUGCAGCGAGAUAUGUCUCAUUGUUAAUGAAAAUAGGGCCUUUUUUGUUGUUUAAAGUCGUUUUUUAAAACUUUUGUGGCAAAUUUUACUGAUGUGUCAGAGAGGGGGCAUGCAAUUGGAACAUGACGAUGACUACCCUAAAAGUCACUUCGAGGCUUUUAUGGCCUUUUUAAUGCAAAUUUCAACUUUAAACCUGACAGUCAUACCAAGGUCAAACAUAACCUCAACAGUACUCCAGCAACGGUACUUCAAAGCAUUUGAAAGUUUCUCCAUUUGUUUUUAAGUGUUCUAGUUGGUACAUUUUGCUGUACUUUACUACAAUAAAGAAAUAUUUAAAUUUUUAUUAUUGUUUACAUUUGUCAUCUGUCAAACACAUCAAACAACCAAGUUCCCUAAAUUUGAGCUCUUAUCUAGUUUUUGUGCUCUAUAUAGACUCGCGUCAAGGUAUGCGGUAUGACGUAACUCAUAUAGAAAUGUCCCGGACUAUACCUAGAAUUUUUCGAUACUUUUAUAGUUGUGGCGUAAUUUAAUAAUGUUCUUCUUACCUUCCUACGGUGCCAAAGCUUCCCAGCUUCACAUCCUUCGUGCAAUAGUCCGGCGAUUUGGAA